AUUUGGAGGUGAUUUAAAUGCCAAAG
rnacentral:misc_RNA from 2 species